ACAGCAGUAGCCACGGGAAUACGUAGGUGGCAAGCGUUGUCCGGAAUUAUUGGGCGUAAAGGGCUCGCAGGCGGUUUCUUAAGUCUGAUGUGAAAGCCCCCGGCUCAACCGGGGAGGGUCAUUGGAAACUGGGAAACUUGAGUGCAGAAGAGGAGAGUGGAAUUCCACGUGUAGCGGUGAAAUGCGUAGAGAUGUGGAGGAACACCAGUGGCGAAGGCGACUUUCUGGUCUGUAACUGACGCUGAGGAGCGAAAGCGUGGGGAGCGAACAGGAUUAGAUACCCCGGUAGUCCCUGUCUCUUAUAC
rnacentral:rRNA from 1 species